GGAGUCUUCAAAGUAUUCAGUUGAUUGUUUUUUGUUUUUGUUAUAUAAUUAGGAAAAAACAAAAUGAGAAUGAUGUGAAUUUGGAGGAGCUAGCCACUGACAGGAAGGAGGAAGGCGCUCCAUACAGCAAAUGAAAUUCAGAACUCUGGCCAGCCCAUCGAGAAGAGGGUAACAGGCCUGCUGGGACAAGUUGAGAGAAGACGAAUGAAGUGAGGACGCUGCACACCAUAAUCUGAAAUAGUCCUAGCGGUGGAAAAGAAGCAGCCUGCAGACGAGGCGGGCAGUGGGAAGUUAUGCUCUGGAUCAUCAGAAAAAUACAAAGGCAUAGCCACAAUUCAUACUAGUGGAGAGACCUCAACAGAGAUGGACCCACCCAAGCCUAGCUUGGAACUUGGACUCGGAUGGAACUUGGACUGCACAGACUGUGUGGCCCCACCCACUGGGGUUGAGGCUUCAAUAUAUGAAUUUCAGGGGGACACAUUUCAACCCAUAACUGCUUAAGAUGAGGCUCACAGGCUGGACUGAGGACUCCUCUCAGGGUGCAGCACAU